GGUAAGUGACCUGAGGCUUUGAGCCCUAUACGCGGGUUUCCAGUUUCGACAAGUGGGGCCCACCAAUCGGCUGUAGGAUUUUGGGUUUACUUUCAUGACUAAUAGAUCUUCUUAAGCAGGCAUGGUACUUGCAAGCAGCAAUUAAGGCAGGUCUGUUUUGAGUGGUAUUGAGUUCAGAUUUCCAUGUUAGUCCAUUGUAGAUCUUGUGUCUUUAAGUAUGCUACUGUUAUAUUCAUCUGGAUUUGUAUGUGACAGAAAUCUAUCCU